AGAAUCAACGCUGGCGGCGUGCCUAACACAUGCAAGUCGAACGAGAAAGUGGAGCAAUCCAUGAGUAAAGUGGCGACCGGGUGAGUAACACGUGACUAACCUACCUUCAAGUGGGGGAUAACCUCGGGAAAACCGAGGCUAAUACCGCAUAAUAUCGCAAGAUCAAAGCAGCAAUGCGCUGGAAGAGGGGGUCGCGGCUGAUUAGCUAGUUGGCGGGGUAACGGCCCACCAAGGCGAAGAUCGGUAUCCGGCCUGAGAGGGCGCACGGACACACUGGAACUGAAACACGGUCCAGACUCCUACGGGAGGCAGCAGUGGGGAAUUUUGCGCAAUGGGGGAAACCCUGACGCAGCAACGCCGCGUGGAGGAUGAAGCCCCUUGGGGCGUAAACUCCUUUCGACCAAGACGAUAAUGACGGUACUGGUGGAAGAAGCACCGGCUAACUCUGUGCCAGCAGCCGC
rnacentral:rRNA from 1 species